AUUUUUUAUGCAACAACUCUAUAAUACUCCCAACAUGUAUAUUGGUUUCAUAGUGUAACAGUGCAAAAGUUCUCUAUCAAGAGAGGAGGCCAACAACAGAUAAAGAACAUACAAUGUGUGGACUCUAGGAAUGCAAAAUCUACAAGAGAAUAUCAACCUAGACAGCACCUACAUUUGAUUUUCUAGAUUCUAACCAUGGCUCAGCUGCAAUUUUUGUAGUUAGGAACCAACCAACCUUAUCAGGAGCUUCAUGAAAUGGAGCAUUUAGUUCCUUCAAAUGCGACUCGAACACUGCAGCCAAACCUUUGUCUGAAUAUUUGUGUUUUCCAUGCCCAGUAUUGAUACCAAGCAAUGGUGGAAGAUUUUCUCCAGAUUCUACUGCCUUGGACAAUUCAUUUAUCCAAACAUGUAAGGCUGUCAAAGCGGCACCUAAAGAGAGACUCUUUAGAUGUAGAGACCACUGGUUUGAUGACUUAGACUGUAAAUCUGUGUAAAUUUCAAGUGUUAAUCCCAAGUCUAGUAAAUCACAUGCUCUUUCCAACAUAUCGAGGUUGACGCAAAGGUCGAUUAAGCAAUUGCAGAAAGCCUUCCUUACAUCAGAGCCAAUACAAUCAAAAAGUUCAGCAGCUUCCUUCUUAAAAUUUCCCUCAGUGCCUUUCUCUGCUAUCAGAAGUUUUACCACAAAACCAAGCUUUGAAUUAGCUUUCUCAAUACAUUCAGCAAGUUUACCAAGUUCAUUCCUUGGUGUUUGAGUCAUGACAUUUAGAAGACAACCACAAAAUCGCCCAUCAGGAGUUAUGCCCAAUUCUAAGAGCCGGUUAAAUGUCCUCACAACAUCAUCAGUACGUUGGGCUUUCCCAUAGCACUGGAUAAGCGAUGUCAAAACAAAUAUAUUAGGCUCAAAACCAGCUUCCAACAUCUGAUUCAACAUAUUCUCCGCCUUAUAUACUUCUCCACUACAUGAAAAUAUGGUAAUCAAAGAUGAGAAAGUCCAACUAUCAGGAUUUGUCCCAGAACUUCUCAUAUCCUCAAAAAUCUCAAUAGCUUCAUUGACAUAGCCAAGAUCAGCACACAUGGCUAAUAGGGUAUUAUAAAGAACCUCAGUCAAACCAAUUCCCUUUUCCUUCAUCUCUCUGUACACAACAAGAGCAUCCUCACCAUAUCGAGCUCGACCAUAAGCACGCAAAAGAGCUGCGUAUGUCCCAAAAGUUGGGGUAAAACCAUUGCCAAUCAUUUCUUUGUAUAUUUUCUUUGCCUGCCAAGGCCUCUUGGCUCUUCCCAUUGCGUCUAACAAAGUGUUAUAUGUAACCAUAUUGGGCUUCGCACCUACUGCCUUCAUUUCUUCAUAAACAUUUAAGCAACCAUCAAAAUUUCCAGACAUCCCAUAAAUUUUAAUCAAAGUCGAGAAUGUCACUGCAUCAAUACGCCAUUUCUCUGUUCUGGCAUGGUCAUACAAACUCAAAGCUUUUUCAACAUUACCUGCCCGCCCAUAGGCAUCAAUCAUAGCUGAGUAGGUAACAUCAUCAGGACUAAGCCCAAAACUCGGCAUUUUCUCGAACCAUUCCACAGCCUUGUUAGGCAAAUUUGACAUCCUAGCACAGCUAAGUAUAGUUGAAAAAGUGGCAUUAUCAGGCUUAACCCCUCUUUGGAGCAUUUCCUCAAACAGUUUCUCAGCUCCAUCUAAAUCCUUGCACUUCCUAAAUACUUUUAUGGUUACAUUGUAAAUAAUAGACUCCCUAUCAAAAGUUAGUCUCUCUGUAAAAUACCUAAGAGCAAGCAAUGCAGUUUCUGGGUUGGACAUGUUAUUGAUGAUAACCACAGCAUCUUGCUCUAAUAUUCUACCACCUAAACCACUCAAAAUGUUACAAACAUCUUCAUCACUUGGGUUACUUGAAUCUAAAGCCUCAGCUACUUUAACAAGAGAAGAAUACCUAGUAUCAUAGGAUCUUUUCUUAAGCUGUGAAGCUCUGGGGCUGUUGGGAUUGACCCAGGCGUAGGAUUUUGAAGAGUAAGUUCUCCUUUUUCCAUCUGGGUAUUGGACAUUUGCAUCUUGUUCUUGUGUAGCUUCUUGUGCUAUUUGGUCCUGUAAAGAGACACGAGUGAUUUGGAGAGAUGUUCUUGAUUGAAGCUGGAAAGAGGUAAGUCCAGAAGAAAAGUUGAAGUAUCUUGGUUUAGGAUCUCUAGAAGACAAGAUAGAGUUGCAGAGAGGUUGAUAGAGAGAGGAUGGAGAAAAGCAGAGAUUAUAUGCCAUCUCUCUCCCGGUUCGGCGUCCUUGUUCAAGAUUUUAGCUUUUGUUAUUGAGACGGGGGAACACAGAGAGACCUUAUCACAUUUGCAAAGAUCCUUUUUUUUUUUUUUU
rnacentral:misc_RNA from 1 species